rnacentral:rRNA from 1 species
AGCAGCCGCGGUAAUUCCAGCUCCAAUAGCGUAUAUUAAAGUUGUUGCAGUUAAAAAGCUCGUAGUUGAAUUUCGGGGUUAGUAGGUUGGUCAUGCCUCUGGUAUGUACUGGUCUCACUGAUUCCUCCUUCCUGAUGAACCGUAAUGCCAUUAAUUUGGUGUUGCGGGGAAUUUGGACUGUUACUUUGAAAAAAUUAGAGUGUUUAAAGCAAGCUAACGCUUGAAUACAUUAGCGUGGAAUAAUGAAAUAGGACGUUCGAUCCUAUUUUGUUGGUUUCUAGGAUUGACGUAAUGAUUAAUAGGGAUAGUUGGGGGCAUUAGUAUUCAAUUGUCAGAGGUGAAAUUCUUGGAUUUAUUGAAGACUAACUACUGCGAAAGCAUUUGCCAAGGAUGUUUUCAUUAAUCAAGAACGAAAGUUAGGGGAUCGAAGACGAUCAGAUACCGUCGUAGUCUUAACCAUAAACUAUGCCGACUAGGGAUCGGAUGAUGUUAAUUUUUAAUGACUCAUUCGGCGCCUUAC